AUACGUAGGGUGCAAGCGUUAAUCGGAAUUACUGGGCGUAAAGCGUGCGCAGGCGGUUUUGUAAGACAGUGGUGAAAUCCCCGGGCUCAACCUGGGAACUGCCAUUGUGACUGCAAGGCUGGAGUGCGGCAGAGGGGGAUGGAAUUCCGCGUGUAGCAGUGAAAUGCGUAGAUAUGCGGAGGAACACCGAUGGCGAAGGCAAUCCCCUGGGCCUGCACUGACGCUCAUGCACGAAAGCGUGGGGAGCAAACAGGAUUAGAUACCCUGGUAGUCCACGCCCUAAACGAUGUCAACUGGUUGUUGGGUCUUCAUUGACUCAGUAACGAAGCUAACGCGUGAAGUUGACCGCCUGGGGAGUACGGCCGCAAGGUUAAAACUCAAAUGAAUUGGCGGGG
rnacentral:rRNA from 1 species